rnacentral:rRNA from 1 species
GACGAACGCUGGCGGCGUGGAUUAGGCAUGCAAGUCGGACGGUAGGGCUUUAUCGUAAGAUAGAGUUUGAGAGUGGCGAACGGGUGAGUAACACGUAGGAAUCUACCCUUAAGACGGGGACAACCCAGGGAAACUUGGGCUAAUACCGGAUGAGAGUGCGAGAGAUUGCAUUUAAAAGGAUGGCGAAAGUUGUCGCUUAGGGAUGAGCCUGCGGUCUAUUAGUUAGUUGGUGAGGUAAGAGCUCACCAAGGCGAUGAUAGAUAGGCGGCCUUAACGGGUGGUCGCCCACACUGGGAUUGAGAUACGGCCCAGACUCCUACGGGAGGCAGCAGUCGAGAAUAGUCUACAAUGGCCGGAAGGCUGAUAGUGCGACGCCGCGUGAACGAGGGAGCCCUUCGGGGUGGUAAAGUUCUUUUCUAUUACGAGCAGUGCUAUAUAUAUGGAUAGUAUAUAUAGAGGGAUAGUAGUAUAGGAAUAAGCAACGGCUAACUCCGUGCCAGCAGCCG